UCGCCCACCUAACUUCGAGGAAGUCUUGUCAGCUCCGUCAUCUACCAUGACCCCUCGGAGCUCACAGCCUCACACCAACCAGGACAGAAAAAAUGCUGUCCCUGCAUCCCUUGAAGUCAUUGGGACCCAGCUAUCCCGUGCAGGCUAAACUUACCUCAACCCAUCUCCAUGGAAGUCUUGUGGGCUCUGUCAUCUGCCGUGACCUCUUGCAGUCCACAGCCUCACACCAAUCAGACAUGAGAAAUGGUGUCCCUGAGGCCCUUGGCAUUG